CCAGAGAUGGGGAUGUGGUUAAUCUGGUGCAUGGCAGCCCUGUGCUUCUUGGGAGCAAGACACACAGAUGCUAAAAUCACCCAAACACCAAGCCUGGUACUGAAGAGAGGACAGACAGCCCAGCUGACAUGCAGACAAACUGAUAAUCAUAACUAUAUGUACUGGUAUCAGCAGCAGCAGGGGAAGGGUCUGCAGCUGAUCUAUUACUCUCUUGGUAAAGGCAACAAGGAAGACGGCGACAGUGACAUUAAAAAUGAUUUCACAGCCUAUCGACCAGAGCUCGAAGUCUUUGACUUGAACAUCACCUCUGUGAAGAUGGAGCACUCGGCUGUGUAUUUCUGUGCCAGCAGUUUAGACACAGCACUUCAGAGUCACCUCCUCCCUCUACAAAAACCUCCCCCCUCCAAGAGAGCUUCUCCUCCCAUCUCUACAUAA